CCUACGGGAGGCUGCAGUGGGGAAUAUUGGACAAUGGGGGGAACCCUGAUCCAGCAAUGCCGCGUGAGUGAUGAAGGCCUUAGGGUUGUAAAGCUCUUUCAGAAGUGAAGAUGAUGACGGUAACUUCAGAAGAAGCUCCGGCUAACUCCGUGCCAGCAGCCGCGGUAAUACGGAGGGAGCUAGCGUUGUUCGGAAUUACUGGGCGUAAAGGGCGUGUAGGCUGUUUGAUCAGUCAGAGGUGAAAUCCCUAAGCUCAACUUAGGAACUGCCUUUGAUACUAUCAUACUAGAGAUCGAGAGAAGUUAGCGGAAUUCCAAGUGUAGAGGUGAAAUUCGUAGAUAUUUGGAAGAACACCUGUGGCGAAAGCGGCUAACUGGCUCGUAUCUGACGCUGAGACGCGAAAGCGUGGGUAGCAAACAGGAUUAGAUACCCUUGUAGUC
rnacentral:rRNA from 1 species